rnacentral:rRNA from 1 species
CCUACGGGAGGCAGCAGUGGGGAAUAUUGCACAAUGGGGGAAACCCUGAUGCAGCAACGCCGCGUGAGGGAAGAAGUUUUUCGUAUUGUAAACUCCUUUUAGUAGGGAAGAAAAUGACGGUAUCUGAGUAAUAAGCCCCGGCUAACUCCGUGCCAGCCGCCGCGGUAAUACGGAGGGGGCAAGCGUUACUCGGAUUUACUGGGCGUAAAGGGCGCGUAGGCGGGAGUGCAAGUCAGAUGUGAAAGCCGGUGGCUUAACCACAGGACUGCAUUGGAAACUGUAAGGCUAGAGUACGGGAGAGGUAGGUGGAAUUCCUGGUGUAGCGGUAAAAUGCGUAGAGAUUAAGAGGAACACCAAUGGCGAAGGCGACUUACUAGAAUGUAACUGACGUUGAGGCUCGAAAGCGUGGGGAGCAAACAGGAUUAGAUACCCCUGUAGUC